rnacentral:rRNA from 1 species
UACGGAGGAUCCAAGCGUUAUCCGGAAUCAUUGGGUUUAAAGGGUCCGUAGGCGGUUUAAUAAGUCAGUGGUGAAAUCUGGUCGCUCAACGAUCAAACGGCCAUUGAUACUGUUAGACUUGAAUUAUUAGGAAGUAACUAGAAUAUGUAGUGUAGCGGUGAAAUGCUUAGAUAUUACAUGGAAUACCAAUUGCGAAGGCAGGUUACUACUAAUGGAUUGACGCUGAUGGACGAAAGCUAGGGGAGCGAAAGGG